UAUAAACUUUAGGGGUGUUCUAAUUUUUUAGAACUGAGAAAUUACCCUUUGAACCUGAUACUGUUUGUACAGUCGUAGGAAAAAGUUGAUUUCAUUCG
rnacentral:ncRNA from 2 species